UGAAGUAAGUAAGGGCGUACGGUGAAUGCCUUGGUGCCAACAGGCGAAGAAGGACGCGGCAAGCUGCGAAAAGCCUCGGGAAGCUGCAAGCAAGCGAUGAUCCGGGGAUAUCCGAAUGGGGUAACCUGAUCGAGGCAAUACUCGAUCGUUCAUACCUGAAUACAUAGGGUAUGAAACGCGAAACCCGCUGAAGUGAAACAUCUCAGUAAGCGGAGGAAAAGAAAGAGAAAUCGAUUCCGUAAGUAGUGGCGAGCGAAAGCGGAUGGAGCCCAAACCGAAGGUAUUCCUUCGGGGUUGUAGGACCACGUCAUAUUCGACCAUACUGGAUAGUAGAACAGCCUGGAAAGGCUGGCCGGAGAAGGUGAAAGCCCUGUAGACGAAAUCCAGAGUGGGAAUUAGUGGUAUCCUGAGUAAUACAUCACACGUGGAACGAUGUAUGAACCCGCGCGGACCACCGCGCAAGGCUAAAUACUAGUUGGCGACCGAUAGUGAACAAGUACCGCGAGGGAAAGGUGAAAAGAACCGCUGUGAGCGGAGUGAAAUAGAACCUGAAACCGUAUGUCUACAAAGUGUCAGAGCAGAGCAAUCUGCGAUGGCGUGCCUUUUGUUUAAUGAGUCUGCGAGUCAGUGUUUGUGGCAAGACUAAGGGCUUCCGGCCCGGAGUCGCAGCGAAAGCAAGUCCGAACAGGGCGCAAUAAGUCGCAGGUACUGGACCCGAAGCGGAGGUGACCUACCCUUGGCCAGGUUGAAGCAUGGGUAAAACCAUGUGGAGGACCGAACAGGUGAACGUUGAAAAGUUCUCUGAUGAGCUGAGGGUAGGAGUGAAAGGCUAAUCAAACCCCGUGAUAGCUGGUUCUCUUCGAAAUGCAUUUAGGUGCAGCGUCACGUGCUGAUGCGCGGGGGUAGAGCACUGACAAGGCUAGGGGGCACACCCGCUUACCAAACCUUAUCAAACUCCGAAUACCGUGCAAUGGAACGUGGCAGUGAGACAGUGGGGGAUAAGCUUCAUUGUCGAGAGGGAAACAACCCAGACCAGCAGCUAAGGUGCCUAAAUAACGCUCAGUGGAAAGGAUGUGGGAUUACACAGACAGUGAGGAUGUUGGCUUAGAAGCAGCCACCAUUUAAAAAAUGCGUAAUAGCUUACUCAUCGAGUGAUCCUGCGCCGAAAAUGAUUGGCGAUCAAGCGUUAUACCGAAGCUCUGGACUUUGCCGCAAGGCAGAGUGGUAGAAGAGCGUUGCAUGCGCGUCGAAGGGCGAUGGCGACUGACCCUGGAGCACAUGCAAGUGAGUAUGCAGACAUGAGUAACGUUAAGCCGGGUGAAAUCCCCGGCCGCCGUAAACCCGAGGUUUCCAGGGCAACGUGUUUCGUCCCUGGGUUAGCCGGGACCUAAGCCGAGGCCGAGAGGCGUAGGCGAUGGACAUCAGGUUAAUAAUCCUGAGCUCGCAACCCUUAAACUGGGGGGACGCAUGAGAAAAGAUGACUAGGUUAUUGAAUUCCGAGUUGAGUCCACGGACUCAGCGCAUCAUUGGAUCGAGUGCCAAGAAAAGCCCCAGCGUAUGCUAAGCGACCCGUACCGCAAACCGACACAGGUGGGUGGGUAGAAUAUACCAAGGCGUAAGAGUGAAACCUGGUUAAGGAACUCGGCAAAUUGGCCCCGUAACUUCGGAAGAAGGGGUGCCUGCAGCGAUGCAGGCCGCAGAGAAAUGGCCCAACCGACUGUUUAUCAAAAACACAGCACCUGUCUCUUAUACACAUCUCCGAACGGUCCUAAGGUAGCGAAAUUCCUUGUCGGGUAAGUUCCGACCUGCACGAAUCGUGAAACGAGUUGGGCACUGUCUCAACCAGGCGCUCAGUGAAAUUGUAGUGGCGGUGAAGAUGCCGCCUACCCGCAGAAGGACGGAAAGACCCUAUAGACCUUAACUGUAAGCUGUCAUUGUUUCUUCGGUUUUAAUGCUCAGAGUAAGUGGGAGACGCUGAAGACGCCCUUUAGGGGGCGUCCGAGUCAUCAAUGAGACACCACCCUUUGAAACUGGAGGAUCUAACCCUGAGCCGUGAAUCCGGCCAGAGGACCGUGUCAGCCGGUCAGUUUUACUGGGGCGGUAUCCUCCCAAAGAGUAACGGAGGAGCGCGAAGGUGGGCUCAGCCCGGUUGGCAACCGGGUGUCGAGUGCAUGGGCAUAAGCCCGCCUAACUGUGAGACCAACAAGUCGAGCAGAUGCGAAAGCAGGCCCAAGUGAUCCGGCGGUAGAAAGUGGAAUUGCCGUCGCUCAACGGAUAAAAGGUACCUUAGGGAUAACAGGCUGAUCACGCCCAAGAGUUCAUAUCGACGGCGUGGUUUGGCACCUCGAUGUCGGCUCGUCGCAUCCUGGGGCUGGAGAAGGUCCCAAGGGUCCGGCUGUUCGCCGGUUAAAGCGGCACGCGAGCUGGGUUCAGAACGUCGCGAGACAGUUCGGUCCUCUAUCCUCUGUGGGCGUUGGAAAAUUGAGGGGUUCAGACCUUAGUACGAGAGGACCGGGUCUGACGCACCACUGGUGCAUCGGUUGUACUGUCAAGUGCAUGGCCGAGUAGCUAAGUGCGGACGGGAUAAGCGCUGAAAGCAUCUAAGCGCCAAGCCCUUCCCAAGAUGAGUUUUCCCUACAGGUUCGUGGAAGACCACCACGUUGAUAGGUCGCAGGUGUAAGUGCAGCAAUGUAUUGAGCCGAGCGAUACUAAUUACCAAUUGACUUCAUCAU
rnacentral:rRNA from 1 species